GCCUAGAAUACAGGCGAGAUUGCCUUUUCAUUAUCACUCAUUUAAGAAAAAAGCGAAUGCGGUAUACGUAUUUAGCGGUGUAAUGCGCACGCCGCAUUCAGCGUUGUAAUGCGCACACGUAUUUUACACACAAACAACUCGAGGCACUGUGCAUUCUUCAACUAGUAACGUUAAUAAGACGAAACCAGUGAUACCCACUGUGUACAAGCAACCAGACGUGACAUCUCGUUGAGGCAAUCGCAACGUGACAGGAUAAUGAGCUCACGUGAGCCGUCAACUGCAGGCGCCGCCGCCGCACCCACCAUUCUCCACAGACGAUAAUUUCCGGACUCUGACGAACGCGUUUCCAAUUUCAAACCUCGCAGUAUAAAAGAGAAGCAAUUAGCCCGUAAAGUGAGUGCUGUAGAAGUGCAGACAAUAGCGGGGCAAGUUCAACACACCUGCGCAUUCACACCGCCUUAAGUGGAUACAUGCGACUUGAUACGACAACGUCACGUGGGUUCCAUACCAAAAAUAAAUAAAGGAAUCCUUUGGUGCGACUUUAUCCAUCCGUCUGUCACAUAACUCCUAAUGCUAUCAAAUUGAAAUUUGAUACAGUUUUACAUAUUAUUAACUCGCAUAUAUCGCAAUGGAAGUAAUUGAAGAGUAAUUUUUUGCUGAGGGGUCCAAAAGGAGUACACCAAAUAUCAAAAUGGAACAAAUUGUCCAAAUGGAAUGCUAUAUGAAACAUCUUCAUUAGUACAUUUUAAAACAAAUUUUUAUGUAUUUAUAUACUGCAUAACUUUGUACUGAUUAUCGAAAUCGAGCUGAGUAAUUUAAAAAGCCUCCAAAAUUAUAUUAUAAUAUUUAUUUAUUUAAUAUAAAUGCUUAAAAAAUGACAUGAAUUUUUGCCCUCUGUACAAUUAUUUUAGCAUGCAGUUAAUAAAAAGAAAUCCCAAAAGUAUAAAUCGAAAUAAUUGACUCUCUUUGUUUUAUGAUAGCUAUUAAAUUCUUUUAUCGCUGGGUUCCCCUGAACAAUCUCAUUUCAUUACAGUGAGUUAU